rnacentral:rRNA from 1 species
AGAGUUUGAUCCUGGCUCAGGAUGAACGCUAGCUACAGGCUUAACACAUGCAAGUCGAGGGGAAACGAUAGAGAAAGCUUGCUUUUUCUAGGCGUCGACCGGCGCACGGGUGAGUAACGCGUAUCCAACCUGCCCACCACUUGGGGAUAACCUUGCGAAAGUAAGACUAAUACCCAAUGACGUCUCUAGAAGACAUCUGAAAGGGAUUAAAGAUUUAUCGGUGAUGGAUGGGGAUGCGUCUGAUUAGCUUGUUGGCGGGGUAACGGCCCACCAAGGCAACGAUCAGUAGGGGUUCUGAGAGGAAGGUCCCCCACAUUGGAACUGAGACACGGUCCAAACUCCUACGGGAGGCAGCAGUGAGGAAUAUUGGUCAAUGGGCGAGAGCCUGAACCAGCCAAGUAGCGUGCAGGAUGACGGCCCUAUGGGUUGUAAACUGCUUUUAUAAGGGAAUAAAGUGAGUCUCGUGAGGCUUUUUGCAUGUACCUUAUGAAUAAGGACCGGCUAAUUCCGUGCCAGCAGCCGCGGUAAUACGGAAGGUCCGGGCGUUAUCCGGAUUUAUUGGGUUUAAAGGGAGCGUAGGCCGGAGAUUAAGCGUGUUGUGAAAUGUAGAUGCUCAACGUCUGCACUGCAGCGCGAACUGGUUUCCUUGAGUACGCACAAAGUGGGCGGAAUUCGUGGUGUAGCGGUGAAAUGCUUAGAUAUCACGAAGAACUCCGAUUGCGAAGGCAGCUCACUGGAGCGCAACUGACGCUGAAGCUCGAAAGUGCGGGUAUCGAACAGGAUUAGAUACCCUGGUAGUCCGCACGGUAAACGAUGGAUGCCCGCUGUUGGUCUGAAUAGGUCAGCGGCCAAGCGAAAGCAUU